rnacentral:misc_RNA from 1 species
UUUCCGUAGGUGAACCUGCGGAAGGAUCAUUACCGAGUGUCGGGCCCUCCUGGGUCCACCCUCCCACCCGUGUCUACCGUCCCUUGUUGCUUCGGCGGGCCCGCCCACUGGGGCGGCCAGGGGGCCCUCGCGCCCCCAGGUUCGCGCCCGCCGGAGACGUCCACGCGAACACCGUGUGAAGGUUGCCGUCUGAGUGGAUUUUUCCAAUCGUUAAAACUUUCAACAACGGAUCUCUUGGUUCCG